rnacentral:rRNA from 1 species
CCUACGGGAGGCAGCAGUGAGGAAUAUUGGUCAAUGGACGAAAGUCUGAACCAGCCAUGCAGCGUGCAGGAUGACUGCUCUAUGAGUUGUAAACUUCUUUUGUACGGGGGUAAAACCCGAUACGUGUAUCCUGUUGUAUGUAUCGUACGAAUAAGGAUCGGCUAACUCCGUGCCAGCAGCCGCGGUAAUACGGAGGAUCCGAGCGUUAUCCGGAUUUAUUGGGUUUAAAGGGUGCGUAGGCGGGUUGUUAAGUUAGAGGUGAAAUGUUGGGGCUCAACCCCGAAACUGCCGCUAAUACGGGUGGACUAGAGAAUAGUAGCGGUAGGCGGAAUGUAUGGUGUAGCGGUGAAAUGCUUAGAGAUCAUAAAGAACACCGAUUGCGAAGGCAGCUUACCAAACUAUAUCUGACGCUGAGGCACGAAAGCGUGGGUAGCAAACAGGAUUAGAUACCCCAGUAGUC